UACGUAGGUGGCAAGCGUUGUCCGGAUUUACUGGGCGUAAAGGGCGUGCAGGCGGUCUGUUAAGUGCAGGGUGAAAGCUCCCGGCUCAACUGGGAGAGGUCCUUGCAUACUGGCGGACUUGAGGGGGGUAGAGGAAAGUGGAAUUCCCGGUGUAGUGGUGAUAUGCGUAGAUAUCGGGAGGAACACCUGUGGCGAAGGCGCCACUCUGGGCCGGUACUGACGCUGAGGAGCGAAAGCGUGGGUAGCAAACAGG
rnacentral:rRNA from 1 species